rnacentral:rRNA from 1 species
GAUGAACGCUAGCGGGAGGCCUAACAUGCAAGCCGAGCGGUAUUGUUUCUACGGAAAUGAGAGAGCGGCGUACGGGUGCGUAACACGUGUGCAACCUGCCUCUAUCUGGGGGAUAGCCUUUCGAAAGGAAGAUUAAUACUCCAUAAUAUAUUGAACGGCAUCGUUUAAUAUUGAAAGCUCCGGCGGAUAGAGAUGGGCACGCGCAAGAUUAGCUAGUUGGUGAGGUAACGGCUCACCAAGGCGAUGAUCUUUAGGGGGCCUGAGAGGGUGAUCCCGCACAAUGGUACUGAGACACGGACCAGACUCCUACGGGAGGCAGCAGUGAGGAAUAUUGGUCAAUGGGUGCAAGCCUGAACCAGCCAUCCCGCGUGAAGGACGACUGCCCUAUGGGUUGUAAACUUCUUUUGUAUAGGGAUAAACCUACCCUCGUGAGGGUAGCUGAAGGUACUAUACGAAUAAGCACCGGCUAACUCCGUGCCAGCAGCCGCGGUAA